GGGAGGAGAGACAGAGCGACCAAUGAGAAGUUGUAGCUGUGCCUUUGAGAUCAAAAUGUCUCAUCUCUUCCACUGAACCAGAGAACUCAGAGUUGAGUACAGGUUCAUUUUAACUGGUUAAAUCCUUCACAUCUAGAUCUGAAAUGCCAUGCAUGGCACAUGCUUUUCAGGAAUGAGAAUUUGCAUAAGUGAGAGAGACUGAGGUUUUUGGUCCUGAGAACUAGAAAGAGCCAGUUUUAAGGGACCUGUCCUUCAUAAACCAGCUGAGAGCCAGAAGUGAUUAAUUCAUGUAAGGAUACAAAAAAAAAAAAAAUAAUAAUAAAUUUCCAAAGAAAUGAUGCCAGAAAACCAAGACCAUGCUAACCAUCGCUGGGGUGAGACUGUCUCUAGCAUUUGGAUGUGAAUUAUUUUGUCUUUUGGUCAAGCCCAACCUCAUAUGGUCAAAAGAUUAUUUAAAAGUUCCUUUCAACAUUUCAGACAAAACCAACAAUAAACUUUGAAGAACCAAAUACUUGAUUGUUUUGAGUCUCAUUUUCCUUUUCCACGUCAUCUAACUUAAAAUAUCAGGAAGGAAAUUCAUGGCAAUUCAUGGAACAGAUGUGGAAAUGAAGGGAAAGGUAGGCUGGAAAAACAAAACAAAGCAAACAGCUGUAAUAAAAUCAGAAUCUUUCAGACCAGCAUAAAUGGGAGGAAAAAUUCUAGGAAAGGACUAUAAAAACAUGUUUCUGAGUUUUGUACAGGCCAAUGGACAUUGAUACAGCAAUUGGCUUUAGGUCUUUUUCCCAGAUUAUUUUUUUAGCUUCUUACCUGCCCAAAUCUCCUGAUUUUGGCUGGUGGUGUUAGUAGGAAGGAUGGGGAGGGAUGUUGUGUCACAUGGCCACAAGUGUGCUCUAUGGUGUUGGUGAAAUCACUACCCUUUCUCUUUCAUUCCUGUAAUAGUUGUAUAACUCCAUCUGCCCACCACAGAGUGGGUUAAAGAUUAAUGAGAUAACACAUGUGGAGGGUCUUGAGUUUCAUAGAACAGGCUGAUGGCCGUAUAAAAUGUCACUCAACAUGGUAUUGAAAACAAGAUUUAUUUUCCCCUCCUUCUGCCCUGUAGUCAGUGGAUCACAAGACUUAAAUUUCGCUUGUUCUUGAGAAACUCCAUUUAAAAGCAUUCAGAACUUAAGUAACAGUCAAGGUAGCAUGAAAAGCAUAAGCAGAAAUUACAGUUCUUUCCUAUUUCUUUCAGCAAUCAGGGCAGUACUUGAAUAUAAGUGUCUCAGAAACAACAUGAGAAGGAAGGAUGGUGGUUUCCCAUGAAUGGCCUCAGAAAGACUCUUGCAUUUGGGCAAAAUCAAGGAUGAGCUAAAACAAGGAGAGGUCUGAAUGAUAGACAAUGGAAGCUUCAAGAUUACUGCUGGCAGAGGGGUGUAGGUAGGAAGGACCUGGCUUGGGCAUCUGUGCAUUCUGGCUCUGUGACUCUGAGCAAGCUACUUAACCUCUCUGAACCUGUUUCCUCAUCUGUAAAGUGAUUGUAAUGCUACUGAUCCAACAGAAGGCUUCAGUGAAAUAGAUGGAUGUACAGUGCCAUGAACCCAGUAUUAGAAGUCUAAUAAAUGGUCACUAUCACUCUUGUUACUACUAUUCAAUAUAUUCUUUAUUAAUUAAUAUUAAUAUGGCAGCAGAGACUACCCACUCCAUGGAAGUCCUUAUGUCUGACCCAUUUUAAAGUUUCAUCCACAUGACAGUUGUACAAGGGGUGGUUCUAAGAUAUUUGGGAAAGCUUAAAUAUUUUUAAAAAAUACAUCUUUCACAAUUUUGGUUUCCCUUAUUUAAAAAAAUCACAUUUGUAAUCAUUUCGUAUGUCUGAAAAAGAUUUGUUAAGGAAGGGAAUUCAUCAGUAUCAUAUCUGACAAGGAUCAACAGAGGUUCUGAAUAUCCAGAGCUCUAGUCUCAUUUUCAGGACUUUUAGGAAAAGACAUGAACGGUGAGACACUCAGACUGUCCCCUUAUCCAUCUUAAAGCCUUGCCCUCUGACGACAGAGCUGACCCUACCUAGUCAGCCCUGUGCUGGAUGAAGAGAAAGCAAGACUGCGGGAAAAUCGCCCCCAUUUCACUCUCUGAAUUUCAAGUAGAAGCAUCUUAGUUUUCUCUCUCCCUUCUCUGCCCCAUAGAAAGGCCUGAUAAAAGUUUCUUACAAUAGAACCCAAAAGUUGAUGCUUUUAUGGGGAUUAGGAUCCUUCUGGUGUCUGCAGGAGGAACAGUCCACACAGAUGCAUCUACCCUGGGAGUCUGAGCUCUUGUGACCUGUACUGGAGUCACUGCCGGUGUGCUCGGUGGCUGCCAUGAAACAGAAGCUAUUCUGGAGUUCACCGAGGCUCAGGCCAAAUUAUUUGGGGCUUACCAUCAUCUGGCUGAGGGGGUAGGAAAUAAAACAGUGGUCCCUCCUUUUAAGGCAAGCCUAGGUUAAUGUGUGGAGACAGAACCUUAUUUUUCCAAAGGCUCAGCCAGACAUCUUGCUAUUUUUAGAGGACUGGCCAGUCCUGAAUGUUGAUUCCAUCAUGGGCAUGAGCCUGAUUUUAACUUCCCAGGGCCAGCCAAGAGCAAGGGCAGCUCCCAAACCCAUCUUCUCUCCCUGCAGGCACCCUGCCACUUCUCUCAAUGGUAUUUCACCAUCACUGCCAUGCUUACCCUGUUUCUCAUCAGAGCUGGAGGGCUGAACUGAUACUUAGGAGGAGGCUGGGGCAAGGGGAUGAGCAGAGAGAGCUGGCAUGAUACUAAGUCACUUACUUCUUUAUGCUUCCAGCCAUUCUGUGAAGUACCUUUCAUUACACAGGAUGAAACUCACUCCAGCAGGUUAGAUAACCUGGAGGCAAGGAGUGGUUAGGAAACACCCACAUCACACAGCUGAUAAAUAACUAACCUAGGAUUUGAAGGACCUCUUUGAUCCAAAGCACACAUUCAUUUCAUGUGCUGUAUAUCCCAACCUCAUCUGAGCCUAGAGCCAUAGAGGCACCUAUUAAAACCCCUAUUCCCAACAACCCAGAGCCACAGAAUCAGAAUCUCCGUGGGACUGGCCCGACAUUCACAUUUUAAACAAGAUUCUUCUAGGGGAUUUCUAGGCUCUGCAAAUUGGGGAAGAACAGCUCUGGGAGAGCUGCUUUCAAACAUAGAGAGAACAUUAGAAUCAUAAGGGAGCUUGUUAAAAAUGCAGGUUCUUCUGUCUUGCCCGCCAAAGCUCCUGAGAAGCCAGGGAGCCUGGACUCAGGAAUCUGCAUUCUCAAUUAUUCUGCUGAAAGUGGGCAGAAGCCUUUGAAAAACAGGGACCUAAUAAUAAAUAAGAAAGAGAGAAGUAGAUACUAAAGUAAUGAAAUCAUUUAAUACUGGAAAGGACUCAUUUGACAGCAGUCCAGGGAAAAUUAUUUAGUUUGGAUUUAAGGAAGAAUUUCUUGCAGACAUGACGACAAAUGGGUGAUCUCUUUCUACUAUGUGAACAGUGAACAUAUUAGUAGCAGAAAGGGGAGCAGGCACUGUGGUCUGUACCUGGCCACUGACAUCUUAUCUUUUCCAUGUUCCUGAAUCUCAGCUUCUACCUGGAAUGUUCUUUUCCCUUUGCUUAUCUUCACUAGUUAAAAUUUCUCUCAAAUCUUAGUUCAAAAGAUACUUGCUCCACGAAGUUUUCUCCCAGUUUCCCCUCUUCUUCUUCUUUGUUUCUAUUGUUUGCACCUGUCAUUGGGCAUGCAUCACAUCUCACCCUGCUGUUGGAUUCCCUGGGUACCUGUAAUGCACACGUUUCCUCACAAAAAGGGCUAGGACCUGACAGCUUUGUUUUUGAUUCCCCACACUGCUGCUCAGUGAAGGCCUUUUGCUCAAUAAGGGUGGAGGAGAUAAAGCCAUCACCGCUGUUACUCUUACUAUGUAAGUUUCUCAGCACUGUAACAGGCAACUUUUAUUAAAUAUUCCUAUUUUGCUGAUGAAGGACACAAGGCACUGAUUGAGAGAUUGCUGUUUGUGGAGGG
rnacentral:lncRNA from 1 species